rnacentral:piRNA from 1 species
GUCAUGCACUUUUCUUUGGACUGGU